rnacentral:misc_RNA from 1 species
AACCAUAGAAACCUGCGGAGUACCUGCGGAAGGAUCAUUACACAAUAAACAUAUGAAGGCUGCACCGCCAACAGGCGGCAAGGCUGGAGUAUUUUAUUACCCUUGUCUUUUGCGCACUUGUUGUUUCCUGGGCGGGUUCGCCCGCCUCCAGGACCACAUGAUAAACCUUUUUUAUGCAGUUGCAAUCAGCGUCAGUACAACAAAUGUAAAUCAUUUACAACUUUUAACAACGGAUCUCAG